CCAAAGGCUCUUUUCAGAGCCACCAAUCCUGUCUUUUAAAGAACUG
rfam:Cricetulus griseus cell line CHO-K1, whole genome shotgun sequence.